GCUUGUCUCAAAGAUUAAGCCAUGCAUGUCUCAGUAUAAGCUUGUGCAUAGUGAAACUGCGAACGGCUCAUUAUAACAGUUAUAAUUUGUUUGGUGUUCAAGUUUACAUGGGUAACUGUGGCAAUUCUAGAGCUAAUACAUGCAUCAAUCCCCGACUUCUGGAAGGGGUGUAUUUAUUAGAUGGAAACCAAUGCGGGGCAACCCGGUAUAUGGUGAAUCAUAAUAACUUUCGGAUCGAUCGCAAGAUCGAUGCAUCAUUCAAGUUUCUGCCCUAUCAGCUUUGGAUGGUAGGGUAUUGGCCUACCAUGGCUUUAACGGGUAACGGAGAAUUAGGGUUCGAUUCCGGAGAGGGAGCCUGAGAAACGGCUACCACAUCCAAGGAAGGCAGCAGG
rnacentral:rRNA from 1 species